rnacentral:tRNA from 1 species
GCCAACGUAGCUCAGUGGUAGAGCAGCUGUUUCGUAAACAGCAGGUCGACGGUUCAAUCCCGUCCGUUGGCUCCA